rnacentral:rRNA from 1 species
GAUGAACGCUGACAGAAUGCUUAACACAUGCAAGUCUACUUGAACUUCGGUUUGGGUGGCGGACGGGUGUGUAACGCGUAAAGAACUUGCCUCACAGUUAGGGACAACAUUUGGAAACGAAUGCUAAUACCUGAUAUUAUGAUUUUAGGGCAUCCUAGGAUUAUGAAAGCUAUAUGUGCUGUGAGAGAGCUUUGCGUCCCAUUAGCUAGUUGGAGAGGUAACGGCUCACCAAGGCGAUGAUGGGUAGCCGGCCUGAGAGGGUGAACGGCCACAAGGGGACUGAGACACGGCCCUUACUCCUACGGGAGGCAGCAGUGGGGAAUAUUGGACAAUGGACCAAAAGUCUGAUCCAGCAAUUCUGUGUGCACGAUGACGUUUUUCGGAAUGUAAAGUGCUUUCAGUUGGGAAGAAAAAAAUGACGGUACCAACAGAAGAAGUGACGGCUAAAUACGUG